GCAUGAGUAGCAAAAGCCAUCCCAGAGCUGGAAGUGAGACUGACACCAGAACCGGGCUCCUGGUUACCUGGGGCUGGGCUCGCACAGCCAGAUUUUUGGCAGCCUUCUCUGCUCAGAGCAGAAGCAGGGCCUGGGCCUGUUGGCCUUCUACUUCAAGAUGCGUCCCAUCCCAGGUCCCAUCCCAAGCAGCAGGUCCAAGAAAAGAACGUACAACUGUAUGUGAAAAUCCCAAAGCCGCAAUAACUACCCUGUCCACAUCUGUUUUAUCUCACUUCAUCCUCAUACCCAGGAAACCCAGGCAGAGACCCAUACGUGCUUAAGGUCAUACAGGUGGCAGAGUUGGGACUUGAACCCGAGUCUUUGCUAACUCCCGGAAGUAAAGCAGAAAAAAAUGGAUUUGCAAACUGCAACAGGCAGGUUCCCAGAAGCGAUAGGCGGGGAUGCAUGGCCCAGCGGCUACUGCAGCAUUAAUUGCCCGCGGCGUCCUCCAGAACAGGCUCCUGGCUUCCCUGAGAUCCCGGGGAAGGUCGGGCAGCGAGGCCAUUAAGGAAGGCCAUAAAUUUGUCAUGAAGGCCUGGAAAUGAGCGGGGCUUAUCAUUUAUGUAUGGAAUAAUUAAGCCACCAUGCUCAGCAGUUCACCAAGGCCUGUGCCCGGACGCCAGGCAUCACCAGCUGCUGAGCUGGGGACCAGUUUGGGGUCUUCACUGUCGCAUUCCCUGCCCAACAGCAUGUCAAAACCCAAGCCUUGGGCAUGCAGACUCCACCAGCACCAGAGCAGGUGCCUGCAGAUGGCCCCGCCCUCAUGAUGUCAUACCAGCCCUGGCCAAUCCCAGGGAGGCCUCUCUCGAAGCUCGGCCCAUGGGGGGGUGCCCAGCCCCUUAGAUGGAGGUGGUGGGCCUGGCUUCUCUCCUUGGGCACUUCUCAAAUGGUAGAAAGUGCGAGAAAUCUGGACUGCCUUGGGUUCAAAUCUUGACUCUCACAGUCCAGCUGUGUGUUUCUGGGCUAGCCAUUUAACUUCUCUGAGUCUUAGUUUUCUCCUCUUGAAAAUGGCCAAAAUAAUAUUUUUU